rnacentral:rRNA from 1 species
GAUGAACGCUGGCGGCGUGCUUAACACAUGCAAGUCGAACGAAGCAACAAUCUUGCUUGCAAGAGAGUUGACUUAGUGGCGGACGGGUGAGUAACGCGUGGGUAACCUGCCUCAUACAGGGGGAUAACAGUUGGAAACGACUGCUAACACCGCAUAACCCGCUAGUGUCGCAUGACACAGACGGAAAAUAUUUAUAGGUAUGAGAUGGGCCCGCGUCUGAUUAGCUAGUUGGUAAGGUAACGGCUUACCAAGGCGACGAUCAGUAGCCGACUUGAGAGAGUGAUCGGCCACAUUGGGACUGAGACACGGCCCAAACUCCUACGGGAGGCAGCAGUGGGGAAUAUUGGACAAUGGGGGAAACCCUGAUCCAGCGACGCCGCGUGAGUGAAGAAGUAUUUCGGUAUGUAAAGCUCUAUCAGCAGGGAAGAUAAUGACAGUACCUGACUAAGAAGCCCCGGCUAACUACGUGCCAGCCGCCGCGGUAAAAC